rnacentral:rRNA from 1 species
AACGUAGGAGACAAACGUUAUCCGGAGUUACUGGGCGUAAAGGGCGUGUAGGCGGUUCGUUAAGUCUGGCGUGAAAUCCCUCGGCUCAACCGGGGAACUGCGUCUGAUACUGGGUGGCUUGAAUCCGGGAGAGGGAUGCGGAAUUCCAGGUGUAGCGGUGAAAUGCGUAGAUAUCUGGAGGAACACCGGUGGCGAAGGCGGCAUCCUGGACCGGCAUUGACGCUGAGGCGCGAAAGCCAGGGGAGCAAACGGG